GAAAAAUUGCAAUGUUUUCAUUUUUCACGUGUUCAUCUUAAACCGGAAGUGACCUUUCGUUGGCAUAAGCGACAUUGACCUACAUAGUUGAAACAGCUUCUCUGUUGAUUGCAAAUGCAGACAAAGACAUAAUCAUUGUGAUGGCAGAGAAAAAAGUUGUGACACAAAUCUCCACCCCAAAGCUACAGAGAGAGGGAGGGGGAUUUCUAGUCCGCAAGGUGAUUGGUGGAAUUAUCCCAUCAUGUGACCCUUUCCUUAUGUUGGACCACAUUGGUCCAGUAGACAACAAACCUGGAGAGUCAGUAGGGGCACCAGACCAUCCACAUCGAGGUUUUGAAACUGUCACUUAUGUUAUAGAUGGGGGUAUUAAGCAUAAGGAUUCUGAAGGCAACAAAGGUAAUCUGAAGGAGGGUUGGGUGCAGUGGAUGACUGCAGGGCGGGGAAUUGUACAUGCAGAGAUGCCAACUGAUGAAAUCAUGGAGAAUGGGGGACGCAUGGAAGGCUUCCAGUUGUGGACUAAUUUACCAGCAAAGCAUAAAAUGAUUGCUCCACGCUAUCAAGAAAUGAAACCAGAAGAAAUGGCAUCAGUAGAAAAUGAAGAAAAUAAAUAUACUGUCAAAAUUAUAUCUGGCACAGUAAAUGGUGUGUCUUCAAAAAUCAACACAUUAGUACCAAUCACAUUCCUAGAUAUUCAUCUCCAGCCUGGUGGCCAGUUCACACACGACAUACCUCCUGGUUUUAACAGUAUUGCAUAUGUAUGGAGAGGCUCAGGUGUUUUAGGUUCAAUGCCUGCUCAUAUGGGGCAAGUGGGGCUGCUUAGUGAAAAGGGAACUGCAUUUACAAUGAAGGCAACAGAUCAAGAUUGCCAUAUUCUACUGAUUGCUGGUGAAAUUAUUAAUGAACCAAUUGUGAAGUAUGGACCAUUUGUGAUGAAUACACAAGCUGAAAUUGAUCAGGCUGUAGCAGACUAUCAAGCAGGACUACUAGGGUCUAUUCCUGGCAAGGAGGAAAGACUUCAACAGACAGAGAUUGCACUGGCACGACAGAGAGAAUCUGGUACAUGGACCUAGUUAAAACUUCUACAUAUCAUUCUCGAUAAUCUGUGGUCUUAUGUGAGAAACUGAGCAAUUGUGAAAUGCUCGACAUUCCGUUGUGUAACAAUCUGUCGUAAAAUCCCAGGUUGAAAAGAAAAAUAUGCAUUGGAUUCACGUUAACGCGUUAUGUAGUUAUCAAAUUUUAUGUGGUGGUGUGUCAUCUACAAAUUUUGUUAUGUCACAUAUCAAAAAGUGACUUAUUGUUAUCCCUCUCAGUUUUGUGCCUGGCUCCAGCAGUUGGUAUCUGUAACAUAUUGUUACACUUUAGUAACUUUUUGUAACUAUAGCCUUAUCGUUUCUUGUUUUACA
rnacentral:misc_RNA from 1 species